rnacentral:rRNA from 1 species
AGUGAACGCUGGCGGCGUGCCUAAUACAUGCAAGUCGAACGGAGUGGCGCACGGGUGAGUAAUAUAUAGCUAAUCUGCCCCUUGCUGGCGGACAACAGUUAGAAAUGACUGCUAAUACUCCAUAGCAAGGGAUGAGACUAUAUCGUAUCAGCUAGUCGGUGGGGUAACGGCCUACCGAGUGAAUGACGCGUAACUGGUCUGCGGGGAUGAUCAGGUACAUUGGAACUGAGACACGGUCCAAACUCCUACGGGAGGCAGCAGUAGGGAAUAUUGCGCAAUGGGGGAAACUCUGACGGGUCAACGCCUCGUGGAGCAUGACACUUAGCGGAGCGUAAGGUCCUUUUGUUAGGGAAGCGGUACCUAACGAAUAAGCACCGGCUAACUCCGUGCCAGCAGCCGCGGUAAUAC